rfam:Tistrella mobilis KA081020-065, complete genome.
GGGCUUUGCAUGUCACGGCCGAGCGCCUAUAUAUGGGGUGCCGGUCGCAAGGCCGGCUAUGGCGAUACAGGGCCUCACGGAAUAAACGUAUCGGACCCGGGGGCAGUGCCCGGCGCCUCCACCAGUUCAGAUCACCGGCCUUCGGGCCGGUGCUCCAUGGGGGCGAGCCAGGAUCGACGUGCGUGGUAAAGGUUUGGUCUUCGCCCGGCAUGAUACCGCCGUUAUCGGGUCACUCAAACAGGUGCGAACGACAACCGUGUCGCCCUCGCUGCCUAACUAGGCAAGCGCGGUCCGGGGGGCACCGGGCAACAGAAGCCCCCCACU